rnacentral:ncRNA from 1 species
AGAGUUUCUUACGAAGAAGAUUUCGCCAAUCACUUUGGCCUCCGGCGGAGGGACAGAUCGGGCAACCGCUUUGGACUGAGCGUCCGCGCAGGGGGAAGCGUAGGCCAGCUAAUGAGCUCCGAAAUCAGAUUUUUCAGGUGCCGACCCAGUCAUAGCAUGGGGAAGGCAACAUCGGUCAUGCCGCUACUGGCAAGGCGUGACUCGGACCUGGCGGAGUCGUUGAACC